rnacentral:lncRNA from 1 species
AGGAUAGAAAUGGAGCACCCAUUUUUUCCGACGACCACCACAAGCGCGGAGGUUUUGCGGUUGCUGACGAUCGCGGAAGAGCUUCUUUGGAAGCGUGACCUGAUGAGGAGUAAGUCCUUUGCGACCCGGGCGCGUGAUUCUGACCCGACCCUAUUACCUGCCGACCAAAUUUUGGCUGUGACUGACACGCUUCUCUCUGGCGACCGGCGGAUCGGAAACGACCUGCAGGACUGGUAUUCGAUUCUUCAAGUCUCGCCUCACCAGGGCCGUGACAUGGAGGUUGUGGCGUCUCAGUACCGCCGCCUGGCUCUUCUCCUAAACCCACUUAAGAAUAAGUUCGCAUUUGCUGAGGCUCCUUAUGUAUUCAGGUUUCUUCAUCUAGGGUUUGUUUGAUUGUGGCUUUAUAUUCCAAUUUUUGACAAGAGAUCUAACGAAUUUGAAUGUGUGGUGUAGGCGAGUGAUUAUGGAGCCACAACGGUUGUCCUGUGCAUGACUGCAGUAGGUGUGACUGUCCUACAAGCGACUGCACUAUGCGUGGUUGUUUGUUGGCGAGUGACUGCGGUGGUGCAAGUUGUGACGGUUUUCAACUACGGUCAACGGUGGUUGUUUUCUAGAGGAAGAAAGAGGGGGGGGGGGGGGGGGGGGGGGGGGGGUUGGGGGGGACACGGAGAGAGUGUGUGUGGAUUUGGGGGAAAUGAGGUGGGGUUGAGGGAGGUAGGGUUGGUUUAUAAAUUAUUUUAAUAUAAUAAUAUAUUUAUCUAAUAAUAAUUUAUUAAUUAACAAACACAUCCGAUUUUUGAAAUAGUAAACGUAGUAUGUAAUUUAUGAAGUGAGAUUUUUAAAAGUGGGCUUCUAUAUAAUUUCCGCUAAUUAUUAAGGCACCGUGGCUAUCUUUUCUCUCUAACAUUACGUGGGCUGGGCCGUUAAAUACCAGUAGGCCCAAUUCACUCUCGCUGUCCACCAGGAAGAAGAAUAGUAAGAAAUUGUGCAUGGUGGUGGAGGGUUAAGCGUCACCGUUUUGCACAUGUCUUCAAUUUUGAAACAUGGCAAAGUCUAAAACCUUUUAACAACGUCACAGUCUAUACUCACACCUAUACAUCCACUCCGUUUUAAUUUACUUUUCUAUCCUCAAAAUAUCCAACUACCCCUUCUUUUCUUUAAAACUCGUGGGCUUUUCCGUCAAAUCAUAGUUCCCCUCUUUCUUCUUGCACUACUACCUCAGUAUGGCAGUAUCCCUUUCAUUCUAUUUCACAUAUUACUUCUCCAAUUACAAGGAGAAGAAGGAAAAGUUAAUCGUUUUCGGCAAAUUUAAGGAUAGAAAUGGAGCACCCAUUUUUUCCGACGACCACCACAAGCGCGGAGGUUUUGCGGUUGCUGACGAUCGCGGAAGAGCUUCUUUGGAAGCGUGACCUGAUGAGGAGUAAGUCCUUUGCGACCCGGGCGCGUGAUUCUGACCCGACCCUAUUACCUGCCGACCAAAUUUUGGCUGUGACUGACACGCUUCUCUCUGGCGACCGGCGGAUCGGAAACGACCUGCAGGACUGGUAUUCGAUUCUUCAAGUCUCGCCUCACCAGGGCCGUGACAUGGAGGUUGUGGCGUCUCAGUACCGCCGCCUGGCUCUUCUCCUAAACCCACUUAAGAAUAAGUUCGCAUUUGCUGACCAGGCCUUCCGC